rnacentral:rRNA from 1 species
AGUGAACGCUGGCGGUAUGCCUAACACAUGCAAGUCGAACGGCAGCACAGUAAGAGCUUUCUCUUACGGGUGGCGAGGGGCGGACGGGUGAGGAAUACAUCAGAAUCUACUUUUUCGUGGGGGAUAACGUAGGGAAACUUACGCUAAUACCGCAUACGAUCUACGGGUGAAAUCAAGGGAUCUUCGGACCUUGCGCGAUUGAAUGAGCCGAUGUCGGAUUAGCUAGUUGGUGGGGUAAAGGCCCACCAAGGCGACGAUACGUAGCUGGUCUGAGAGGAUGAUCAGCCACACUGGAACUGAGACACGGUCCAGACUCCUACGGGAGGCAGCAGUAGGGAAUCUUGCGCAAUGGGCGAAAGCCUGACCGAGCAAUGCCGCGUGAGUGAAGAAGGUCUUCGGGUCGUAAAGCUCUGUUGUUGGGGAAGAACAAAUGUAUGUGUAUCUAUGGCCGUCUUGACGGUACCUAAUGAAAAAGCACCGGCUAACUUCGUG